ACUAAGACUCUCUGGAACUACAAUUUUCUACGAUUUUACCAUACAUUCGCCAAAAGGUUGGCCUACUCUAUUUUAUUGAAUUGUUUACAAAAAUAGCGAUAUAACCAAAAGGGUUACACAAAAAAUAAUAAAUAAACGCUACGUUUUUAGAAUGUUUUGUUACGUUAUUUGACAUUUUGUUGCUGGCCACCCAGUAGUAUGUCCUUUGUGUACCAUGUUUCCAUUAUUUAAUAUUAACAUUUCGUGUUAAAAUAUUAACAUUUUCGUUUGUUCUUUCAUUGAUUAGAGCCAAGGAUUUCCCUAAUUUUCUCAAUUCGAGGACAUCCAUCCUUCCAAGGGUACUAAAUGUUGCUUAUCCCAAGGAAAAUGUUGGGGAGCAAUGCUGCUUAGUAUUCGCAGCAUGUUGAUGGUCCAUACAAAUUUUGUUGAUAACGGUAUAAUACAUAAGUGUGGAUGAAAUUCAACUUAAGUGGGGAUGAAGUAUUGGAGAAAAACUGUAACAAGUUACAUAUUUCAACGUGGCGAUUUCCCCCCUUGUAAAGACGGGCGACCAAAUAAUCCACGUCUAUACAAGGGUAGAGCGGUAACUUAAAACACUAACCAAGUAUUAUAAUAUUUGGUUAGUGCUUAAAACUUAAAAAAAAAAAAAUAAUAAGUGGGGAUGGAAUAAAGACUCCUGUCAGAAACAGACUCCGUGCUCUUCCACUCAGAACAAACCAACCACAUCAAACUCAGGUAACAAAGCAGCUUGCAAAUCUCCAACUAAGAAAAUAAUUCCAACCAAGUCUCCUAAAUCUCCAGUACGAUCAAAUCCAGCGAAGCCAAAACUCAAACCUCAAACUUGGUAGACGCAGGAACAACUAUGUCGAAGCAAUCUCGUUAUUUAAUCGAUACAGCGAAACUGGUUGUUGAAUAUUAGAACAAAAAUUGUAUUGAAAAUUUUAACUCAAUGUCGAAACUCGAUGUCAAAAUAUACCGAAAAGUAUAAAAUAUACCGUAAACGGUCACCCCGAUUAUAUACCGAUUGUUGAUGGUGACGGAAUCG
rnacentral:lncRNA from 1 species